GGCGACCGGGCCCCAAUCGCCGCGCCCGCACCCGCCCCCCGCCCGCCGCCAAUGGCCGCGGCCGGCGGGGGCGGGCUCUUCGCGGCCACGCCCCCCACUCCCCCUCCGGGCGGCGCCACCGGCAGCCCGCGCCCCUCCUCCUCCACGGCCUUCGCCGCCGCCCCAGUGCUGGGAGGACCCCGCUCCCGGGUUGCACAACCGCCCGUUCUGCCGCCGGGGGCCGGCGAGCCCCGGAAGGGGCCGGAGACCCCGACCCUCCGCGAUCCCCGCAGCCCCGCCGCUUCCUUUCCUCUCCCGGCCGCCGCGGCCCCUCGAUGGCCCCUGCGACCCCGGCUCCCAGCAGAAGCCCUUUCCGUCUCCCCGAGCGCGCAGCCGGCCCGGCUACCUGUUGCCGGCCGAGCACCAGGCCGCGGCGCCCCGGCCGUGGCAGAGCGCUCCGUGCGCCUUUCCCCGCGCGCUCGCGGGAGGACCCCACCUCCUUGAGGUGGGCGACUGGGGAGACAAGGCGGAGGUGGGGGUGGGGGGCGCUGGCGAGCUGCGAACCCUCGCGGGGGCAGGCGCGGGCAGGGGCCGGGCGGCGGGUCCGAGCCCUGCGGGGCUGCGUAGGCGGCGAUCGCGCUGCCCAGCGCCUCUCCCCGGGGAGAGAAGCGCGACGCGCAAACACCGCCCCUGCACAUCGGGGCGCAGAGACGGCCUCGGGGCGUUGCGUCAGAGGCCUGGCGGAGGAGGGCCCUCUGCCCCGGCCCGGGCUGGUGCCCCGCUGCGCCCGCUGGCGAGGCUGCGGGGCCGGACACGCCGCACGCCGCGCGGGGUCUUUCCUGGCGAUCCCGGAGCUGGUCGUUCGUUAGUGUCAUCUCUGCCCUCGCUGAAUGCUGUCAUCGUCGCCUCCAAGUUCCCGGGCUCCGUAAGAGACUUAGAGAAAUGGGAGGAGGACACCUCGCGCUGGGUGCUUAGUCUUCGCCGGAGCCUGCCCAGCACAAAAGAAACAUUUGAAGCAAACGCCAAAGAGAAGAGGAGUGAACCUUCAGCGGCUGUGACCCGCGGCCAUCACUGGCGGAAAGUCUGCUGCACUCAGUCUGUCUCUUUUUCCCUUCCCCAUUCUCAGGAGCACCCAAACAUUCCAAUGUUUUCCUGUUUCCGUUGCGUUUUUUGGAAAGACUCACAUUUCAAACUAUCCUCCAAGGGCAAUGUUGGGGUUCAGAACACAGGGUCGCCCAGGGUUCACGAGAGCUCUGUCCCCAGCAAGAGCCUGGCAACUUCGGCCCUGGGAGUUCAACCUCUUCCAGCCACCUUCCCAGGGAGGGGCUGGGCAGCUCAAGAAGCACAGCCGUGAAUGGCUUUUGGGUCUGUUCCCUCUAUUAGGCAUGUAUCCCAAAGACUUGACUACCGUGAUGAAAAUGAAUCCUUAAUUUGGUGUCUCA